UACGGAGGGGGCUAGCGUUGUUCGGAAUUACUGGGCGUAAAGCGCGCGUAGGCGGUUUUGCAAGCCAGAGGUGAAAUGCCUGAGCUCAACUUAGGAAUUGCCUUUGGGACUGCGAGGCUUUGAGGACGGGAGAGGUGAGUGGAAUUCCCAGUGUAGAGGUGAAAUUCGUAGAUAUUGGGAAGAACACCGGUGGCGAAGGCGGCUCACUGGCCCGAUACUGACGCUGAGGCACGAAAGCGUGGGGAGCAAACAGG
rnacentral:rRNA from 1 species